CACAUUAAACACCGGUUCCUGUACGAUCAUCGAAGUGAAACAACGUCGAGCUUGGUCAGUACCUAGAUUAGUGACCGCUUGCGAAUAUCAGGUGCU